CAGAUUUUUCUUUUUUAACAAAUAGUGCUAAUGCUUUUGUCUCCUUGUGGUAAUUGCUGUAGGUAGUCCCGGACUCCUGGAUCCUUGUGAAAAGGAUCCCUUUGAUACCUUGGCAACAAUGACUGACCAGCAGCGGGAAGACAUCACAUCCAGUGCACAGUUUGCAUUGAGACUCCUUGCAUUCCGCCAGAUACACAAAGUUCUAGGCAUGGAUCCAUUACCCCAAAUGAGCCAACGUUUCAAUAUCCACAACAACAGGAAACGAAGAAGGGAUAGUGAUGGAGUGGAUGGAUUUGAAGCUGAGGGGAAAAAAGACAAAAAAGAUUAUGAUAACUUUUAAAAAGUUUCUGUAAAUCUUCAGUGUUAAAAACAACAGGUGCCCGUUUGUUGGCUGUUUUUCAUUCAUAAUAAUGUCUACUUUGAAAAAUUUAUCAAGAAUUUUAAAGAUUUCAUGGAAGAACCAAGUUUUUCUAUGACAUUAAAAAGUUAAUGUACAGUGUUAGGUAUUAUAUGAAUGGAAAGACACCAAAAAAAAAAAGAGAGAGAGAGAAGCAUUGUGCUCUGACUAGGGGGAAAAUUGGUUCUGAUUUUUCCCCCCAUUAUUUUGGUUUUAUUUUCUGGUUACCCUAGCUCUACCCUCCCCUAUUUUUGUGUCUUUUAUUAACUAGUGCAUUGUCUUAUUAAAUCUUUACUGUAUUUAAUGCAAGAUUUGUGCUUCAGUUGCUCUAUGUAUUUUGAUAUUUUUAUUUAGACAUUUUGUUUGCUUUUGACACUAGUUGUAAGUUACUUUGUGUUAUAGAUGAUAUCCUUUACCCUUUCUUAAUAUUUUACAGCAGUACGUUUUUUUGUAACGUGAAACUGCAGAUUUUUUUUUCUUUUGUUCUAUAUGUGAAGGAUUACAACACAAAAAGUUAUUCUGCCAUUUGAGUGCUCAGAACUGAAUGUUUCUGCGGAUCUUGUGGCAUUUGUCUCUCUAGUGUGAUAUAUAAAGGUGUAAUUAAGACAGAUUUCUGUUAAUUAAUCAAGUUUGCUGUUAGUUGUGCAUUAGCAGUAUAAAAGCUAAUAUAUACUAUACAGUCUUGCAACAGUUUUAAAGCCUCUGCAUAAUUGAUAAUAAAAAUGCAUGACGUUUUUGUUUUUAAUAGACUUUUAAAAUUAUAAUUUUAGGUUUAACACGUAGACUUUGUACAGUUGACUUUUUGACAUAGCAAGGCCAAAAAAUAACUUUCUGAAUAUUUUUUUCUUCUGUAUAAGUGGAAAGGGCAUUUUUCACAUAUAAGUGGGCUAACCAAUAUUUUCGAAAGAACUUUAUCAUUGUGCAGUUAACAACAGUAACUAGCCCUUAAUUACAGUGACAGCUCCUUAUCGGUGUGUGUGAGAUUACUCUAGCAACUAUUAGAGUAUAACACAUUUGAAUGAUCUCCCCCACACCCCAUCACCCAGAUAAUUUACAGUUCUAUUAACAGUGAGGUCAGUAAAGUAUCACUGAUAAAAAAUUAAGAUUACGGAAAAAAAAACCAGAAAAUUAUUUGGUGUGGCCAUCUUACAUGCUUUUAUGUCUCCUACACAAAGCUAAAUAUUCUAGCAGUGGUGUAAUGAAAAGUUACAUCUUACUGUUGAUGUAUGUAUGCUCUGAUACACAGACGUCAUUUUGUUGUCAUGGCACUACAGUGAAAUACACAAAUAAAAACAAAUUCAUAUAAUGACUUAAAUGUAUGAUAUGUUAGAGUUGACAUCAUAAACUACUUUUGCUUUGAAAUGACUAUGGCUUCAGUAAAAUCAUAUUUAAAUUUA